rnacentral:misc_RNA from 1 species
CUGAACGCCUCUAAGUCAGAAUCCAUGCCAGAACGCGGUGAUACCACCCGCACGUAUAGAUGGACAAGAAUAGGCUUCGGCUUAGCGUCUUAGCAGGCGAUUCUUCCACGGCGCUCGAAGCGCGUCGUGGUAUUUCGCGUAUUGUAAUUUCAACACGAGCGGGGUCAAAUCCUUUGCAGACGACUUAGCUGUGCGAAACGGUCCUGUAAGCAGUAGAGUAGCCUUGUUGUUACGAUCUGCUGAGGGUAAGCCGUCCUUCGCCUCGAUUUCCCCAAUGGGUUCUCCGGAUUUCUGGAGACUUGUAGGGGUUGUGGGUUUUUUCGAUGUGUCGUCUCCGGACGGGCGGUGCAGGGUAGUCGAGUUAGACUUGGUGGAAUUCGAUUCCGUCGAGUAUGGCUGGCACGAUCGUGUGCGGUUGUGUGUUGGACGGUGCAGGGUAGGCUGCUUGGACAUGGUCGGUUCGAGGAUCGAUUCGAGGGCCGGCCUGUCGAUGAUGUGUGAUGUAUGCGGUCUAGGGUAGGCUGGUUUGUCUUGGUCCAAUUUGAUGUCGGCUCCCCGUGCAGGCUAGAGUGAGGGGGGUCCAGGGUAGGUACAGGGUAGGCAGCUUAGAUUUGGUCGAUCUGGAGGUCGAUUCUCCGGCUGGUGGAUCUGACCCUGUCGAAACGAGAUGCGAGCGGUGUAGGGUAGGCUAGUUUCGUCCUCGCCAGGUUGCGAUUUGGACGAGAUAUGUGGUCUAGGGUAGGCUCUAGGGUAAGUAGAAUUCGAGUUUCGUCGCCGACAGUUUUCUGUGGGUGUAUGGUAGGUACAGGGUAGGCAAAACUCUCUCCGGCCAGUACUUGUCUGGUGGUCGUGAGUCGAUUUUUUUGUUUUGCCAUACUAUUGAAUUUUGCGGAAAUUCAAAAGUGGCUCGGGAGUCCCGCCUGGCGUGCGUCCGACUCGAACAUCGUCGGUGUACAUAUGAGAGGGAGUAAUCCGGCCCGGCCGGGGCCCAUCGCGAGCUGCCGGGUAGGUAAAAGUAAAAAAGUUGUUAAGAGGCGCGGUGUCGGCGUGCUUGUAUUUGCGGGAGAGAAUUAUCUGGAGGUGCUGGGUAGCCGGGAAGACUUGGACGGAUCUGGCCCGGGAAUGGGUCUGGGCCUGGAUUCUGGUGUGGUGUAGGAUAGGCGUAGAUAGAUGAGUGGUCUAGGGUAGAUACAGGGUAGCCAGAAGUCUGGUAUAUAGUGUGGGGGGUGUAGGGUAGGUCUGGACACCGUUUUCCACUUCGCCCUUCCCUUUACUCGAGGGAGGACGAUCUUGGCUGGGAUGGAGGUGUAGGGUAGGCUUAAUUUACGAUUACAUGAUCUGUGUCACUCUAGGGUAGGUGAAAAUCCCAUAUAUAUCUGAUCACAUUUGGAGAAGAGGUGGUUUGGCUGGUGAGAUGGACAAAAGUGCAAUGUAGAAUUAUAUGUGAUUUUGCAAAAGUGGGUGUGAAAUUGGGAAAUCGGUUUCCCCGCACAGAUGAGAGCACGUUUGAGGUGCCAUGAGAUGCACCUCUCCGAGACGACCUCAACGGUACCACCGAUGUGUUGGUCCGGCUCCUGUGCGGCCGUCCAGGGCGGGAUAUGUAGAGAAUGUGGUGGUGUAGGGUAGGUGGCCAGGUCCAGGGUAGGUUCUCCAAAUCCGUCAAUCCGGCUUGAAUCGAAGGACAGGUCUAGGGUAGGCCAGAGUCGGGUCUAGGGUAGGCAGCUCUCACCCUCGAAGUGGUCUACCCGGUAGUCAACUUCAAUCGCCUCUCACGGCCGCCACGGACCUCGCAUGACGACGGGACCACCACCAUCGGAUUUGCCUUGGUCGAAAUAGUCGGUAUAUGCACUUUUGCAAAAAUGCGUGCAAAAUGGUUUUGUGGUUUGGUGGUCGUGAGUCGAUUUUUUUGUUUUCCCAUACAAAUGAAUUUUGCGGAAAAUAAAAAGUGGCCCACGAAGCAGUUCUGGCGUGCGGCCCACUAAAACGGUCUCGGAGGGUAUAUGAGAAGGGAGCAAAUCCGGCCGAGCCUGAAAGGGUGAGGACAAACCGGGCGAGCAACCUCUCAGUAUCAGAUCUUGCAGACUUCCACUGCGUGUCCCUCUGUACAGCUUUGCAGGCUCCGGCCUCGGCAGCGGGGGGUUCAUAGUGGUCGUCGACCUCCACGAAACUGCACGCUCCGGCGUGACAGCGUACUGGGGAUGCCUGUGUAGAUGCAGUCCGGGCUUGCCUGGACCGCUAGCAGAUGGGCUCUGUGGAUGACUGGCCGCUGGCUAGACCUGAAACCUGAGCAACGGGAGGUAACCUCUCGCCGCGGACACCGGAAUGGUAGAAGCGGCGUGCUGCGUCCUCCUCUUGGGGCCCCUAAGCCACACCUCCCAUAGCGGGUUCGGUGCGGCGGACGGACGCCCUGGGGAAUUUAGAGGGGGAAAGCGGAUUGCCCUAGCGGUGUUGUUGGCCCUGCCGACCUCACUGCGAAAGGCGCGACUUCACCGUCGCCACCCAGUAACUUGUCUCUCCGGCGCUUCACGGCGCUGGUGGCCAACCCCGGCACACGAUAGUUACCUGGUUGAUUCUGCCAGUAGUCAUAUGCUUGUCUC